AUACGGAGGGUGUGAGCGUUGUUCGGAAUUAUUGGGCGUAAAGAGCAUGUAGGCGGUCUGUUAAGUCUGGUGUGAAAGCCCGGGGCUCAACCCCGGAAGUGCAUUGGAUACUGGCAGACUUGAGUAUGGGAGAGGAAAGCGGAAUUCCGAGUGUAGGAGUGAAAUCCGUAGAUAUUCGGAGGAACACCAGUGGCGAAGGCGGCUUUCUGGACCAAUACUGACGCUGAGAUGCGAAAGCGUGGGGAGCAAACAGGAUUAGAAACCCCAGUAGUCC
rnacentral:rRNA from 1 species